GCUGGGCACAGUGGCUCAUGUCUGUAAUCCCAGCACUUUAGGAGGCCAAGGCAGGUGGAUCGCUUGAGCUCAGGAGUUUAAGACCAGCCUGGGAAACAUGGUGAAAUGCUGUCUCUACAAAAUAUACAAAACUUAGCUGGGUGUGGUGGUGCGCGCAUGUAGUCCCAGCUACUAGGGGGCUGAGGCAGGAAGAUCACUUGAGCCCAGAAGGUUGAGGCUGCAGUGAGCCAUGUUCGUGCCACUGCACUCCAGCCUGAGCAACAAAGUGAGACCCUGUCUCCU
rnacentral:sRNA from 1 species